rnacentral:misc_RNA from 1 species
UCCGGCUUGGCGCCGGCAGUUCCUCUAGAGUGCCCAACUAAAUGCUGGCAACUAGAAGCGAGGGUUGCGCUCGUUGCGGGACUUAACCCAACAUCUCACGACACGAGCUGACGACAGCCAUGCAGCACCUGUCUCUGCGCCCCGAAGGGACCCUGGAUCUCUCCAGGUAACACAGGAUGUCAAAAGUGGGUAAGGUUCUUCGCGUUGCUUCGAAUUGAGCCACAUACUCCACCGCUUGUGCAGGCCCCCGUCAAUUUCUUUGAGUUUUAAUCUUGCGACCGUACUCCCCAGGCGGGGCACUUAAUGCGUUAGCGCCGGCACUCAGGGGGUCGCUCCCCCAAGCACCUAGUGCCCAUCGUUUACGGCGUGGACUAC